rnacentral:rRNA from 1 species
GGUGAACGCUGGCGGUAGGCCUAACACAUGCAAGUCGAACGGCAGCACAGGAGAGCUUGCUCUCUGGGUGGCGAGUGGCGGACGGGUGAGGAAUACAUCGGAAUCUACUUUUUCGUGGGGGAUAACGUAGGGAAACUUACGCUAAUACCGCAUACGACCUACGGGUGAAAGCAGGGGAUCUUCGGACCUUGCGCGAUUGAAUGAGCCGAUGUCGGAUUAGCUAGUUGGCGGGGUAAAGGCCCACCAAGGCGACGAUCCGUAGCUGGGCUGAGGGGAUGAUCAGCCACACUGGAACUGGGACACGGUCCAGACUCCGACGGGAGGCAGCAGUGGGGAAUAUUGGACAAUGGGCGCAAGCCUGAUCCAGCCAUACCGCGUGGGUGAAGAAGGCCUUCGGGUUGUAAAGCCCUUUUGUUGGGAAAGAAAUCCAGCUGGUUAAUACCCGGUUGGGAUGACGGUACCCAAAGAAUAAGCACCGGCUAACUUCGUGCCAGCCGCCGCGGUAA